UCCUUGUGGGGCCACAGUGCCCAGAGUGCAAAUCGCACAGCUGUGGCGCUGCUGCUGCCAGGCAUUCGUAGUCUCCUAUUACUUCUGGGGCCUGAAUUGCCUCCAGAAAUCAAGGAUUGUUCCCAAAUGUCAUCCCCUGGCUCUGGAACUCGGUGAACUUGUGUUCCCCAAAGUCCAGGACAGGAAGAACCAUUAAGUGGGCCCAGUGAUGUCAGAAGCUUUGGUGUUUGAGGAGCUGAAGCCAAGAGGCUCUGGCCCUGGAGGUCUGCAGUGGAGGGCCCCUGGUCCUGCCCACACUGCAGGGAGGCUAUUACUUGAGAAGCACUUAUGGAGCACUUUUGCUGCUCAAGAAAUUCCAGGAAGAACAAGCUGCCCAGCUGUCAGUGCCCCAGGAAAGCUGAGACCCUUGUGCCUGACCAAUCUGUCAGUGUCCUGUUAGAGGGACCCUUCGUUAAGUAGUCCUGCUGGAUUCGAGGGAAGUCAGACUGACAUUCAGGGAAAUAGGCCAAGAGCAUAAGGGAGACCCCUCAGCAGGUCUUCCCACUUCAUGAUCCCUCAGCUGGACUUCCUAUUUGAAUAUGUUACCUGCUGCUGGCAACUGCUAGCAUCCAUGAAGGAGUCACACUUUGGAACUUUAUGGAACAGUUUAUGGAACUAUACUCUUUAUAAAUAUAAAAUUAUGACAGGUUAAUGUUCAGGGAUUGUUGGUGAUUGUAUCUGUCAGUGAUAGUAUUUCUGCAAAAACUCAUUCAAAGGAAUAUACAGACAAGGUGUAGUCCCCAGUAAAAAUAUUCAGCAGGCAGAGUGCAUUUCUAACCCAACAGGCAUUCCUAUGGGGGA